rnacentral:ncRNA from 1 species
UUUAUUAUGAGAGAUGGAGGGAAUUGGCCCGACGAAGUCUCAGCAAACUGCCUGCGGGUAAGGUGCUACGUCCAACAGGGAAACCUGAACGAUGAGG